rnacentral:rRNA from 1 species
UUUCAGCUAGAGUAUGAUAGAGGAAAGCAGAAUUUCUAGUGUAGAGGUGAAAUUCGUAGAUAUUAGAAAGAAUACCAAUUGCGAAGGCAGCUUUCUGGAUCAUUACUGACACUGAGGAACGAAAGCAUGGGUAGCGAAGAGGAUUAGAUACCCUCGUAGUCCAUGCCGUAAACGAUGUGUGUUAGACGUUGGAAAUUUAUUUUCAGUGUCGCAGCGAAAGCGAUAAACACACCGCCUGGGGAGUACGACCGCAAGGUUAAAACUCAAAUGAAUUGACGGGGACCCGCACAAGUAGUGGAGCAUGUGGUUUAAUUCGAAGAUACGCGCAGAACCUUACCAACACUUGACAUGUUCGUCGCGACUUUAAGAGAUUAAAGUUUUCGGUUCGGCCGGACGAAACACAGGUGCUGCAUGGCUGUCGUCAGCUCGUGUCGUGAGAUGUUGGGUUAAGUCCCGCAACGAGCGCAACCCUCACUUUUAGUUGCCAUCAUUAAGUUGGGCACUCUGAAAGAACUGCCAGUGAUAAGCUGGAGGAAGGUGGGGAUGACGUCAAGUCCUCAUGGCCCUUACGUGUUGGGCUACACACGUGCUACAAUGGUAUCUACAACAGGAAGCAAGACGGCGACGUUUAGCAAAUCCUUAAAAGAUACCUCAGUUCGGAUUGCACUCUGCAACUCGAGUGCAUGAAGCUGGAAUUACUAGUAAUCGUGGAUCAGCGUGCCACGGUGAAUGCGUUCCCGGGUCUUGUACACACCGCCCGUCACACCAUGGGAGUUGGUUCUACCUUAA